GACGAACGCUGGCGGCGUGCUUAACACAUGCAAGUCGAACGAAGUGGCGAACGGGUGAGUAACGCGUAAUCAACCUGCCCUUCAGAGGGGGACAACAGUUGGAAACGACUGCUAAUACCGCAUACUGAAGGAGGGGAUUGCGUCUGAUUAGCUAGGUGGAGGGGUAAAGGCCCACCAAGGCGAUGAUCAGUAGGCGGUCUGAGAGGAUGAACGGCCACAUUGGGACUGGGACAAGGCCCAGACUCCUACGGGAGGCAGCAGUGGGGAAUCUUCCGAAAUGGAGGGAAGUCUUACGGAGCAACGCCGCGGGGGUGAUGACGGCCUUCGGGUUGUAAAGCUCUGUUAAUCGGGACGCGGUACCGGAAUAGAAAGCCACGGCUAACUACGUGCCAGCAGCCGCGGUAAUUC
rnacentral:rRNA from 1 species